rnacentral:rRNA from 1 species
AGCGAACGCUGGCGGCGUGCCUAACACAUGCAAGUCGAACGCGAAAGCCCGCAAGGGUAAGUAGAGUGGCAAACGGGUGAGUAAUGAAUAGGAUGUACCUUUUGGUGGGGGAUAACCACAGGAAACCGUGGCUAAUACCGCAUGAGAUCGAGAGAUGAAAGGAGGCGUCGGGCAACCGAGCUUUCGCCGAUAGAGCAGCCUAUUUCCCAUUAGCUAGUUGGUAGGGUAAAGGCCUACCAAGGCGACGAUGGGUAGCUGGUCUGAGAGGACGAUCAGCCACACUGGAACUGAGACACGGUCCAGACUCCUACGGGAGGCAGCAGUGGGGAAUCUUGCACAAUGGGCGAAAGCCUGAUGCAGCAACGCCGCGUGAGUGAAGAAGGCCCUUGGGUCGUAAAGCUCUUUCGGUUGGGAAGAAGAGAGAGUGAGUUAAUACCUCAUUUUUUUGACGGUACCAGCAGAAGAAGCACCGGCUAAUUCCGUGCCAGCAGCCGCGGUAA